AUUGCACGCUGGCGGCAGGCCUAACACAUGCAAGUCGAACGAGUGGCGGACGGGUGAGUAAUGACUGGGAAACUGCCUGAUGGAGUGGGAUAACUACUGGAAACGGUAGCUAAUACCGCAUACCAACGGAUGUGCACAGAUGGGAUUAGCUAGGGGGUGGGGUAACGGCUCACCUAGCCGACGCUCCCUAGCUGGUCUGAGAGGAUGACCAGCCACACUGGAACUGAGACACGGUCCAGACUCCUACGGGAGGCAGCAGUGGGGAAUAUUGCACAAUGGGCGCAAGCCUGAUGCAGCCAUGCCGCGUGUAUGAAGAAGGCCUUCGGGUUGUAAAGUACUUUCAGCGGGGAGGCGUUACCCGCAGAAGAAGCACCGGCUAACUCCGUGCCAGCAGCCGCGGUAAUUC
rnacentral:rRNA from 1 species